rnacentral:snRNA from 1 species
AUCACUUCUUGGCCUUUUGGCUAAGAUCAAGUGUAGUAUCUGUUCUUAUCAGUUUAAUAUCUGAUACAUCCUCUAUCUGCGGACAAUAUAGUAAAUGGAUUUUUGGGACAGGGAGAUGGACUAGGAGCUUGCUCCGUCCACUCCACACAUCAACCUGGUAUUGCAGUACCUCCAGGAGCAGUGCACCAAAA